UGGCUCAGUGGUCAGAGCACUGGCAGUACUACCAGAGGACCUGGGUUUAAUUCCCAG
rnacentral:tRNA from 1 species